rnacentral:misc_RNA from 1 species
UAAUAAGUGCUCUACUGCACUUUUUAAACAAGUACUCACCUUGUGUGCAAUGUUUGUGGUCGCGUCGUUCACGCGUCGCGACCGCAUAAUACCAACCCUUUAUUGAAAUUUUUUGUCUGAAGCUAUUUUGAAUAAAUAAUUCUAAAUA